GAUGAACGCUGGCGGCGUGCCUAAUACAUGCAAGUCGAGCGAACGGACGAGAAGCUUGCUUCUCUGAUGUUAGCGGCGGACGGGUGAGUAACACGUGGAUAACCUACCUAUAAGACUGGGAUAACUUCGGGAAACCGGAGCUAAUACCGGAUAAUAUUUUGAACCGCAUGGUUCAAAAGUGAAAGACGGUCUUGCUGUCACUUAUAGAUGGAUCCGCGCUGCAUUAGCUAGUUGGUAAGGUAACGGCUUACCAAGGCAACGAUGCAUAGCCGACCUGAGAGGGUGAUCGGCCACACUGGAACUGAGACACGGUCCAGACUCCUACGGGAGGCAGCAGUAGGGAAUCUUCCGCAAUGGGCGAAAGCCUGACGGAGCAACGCCGCGUGAGUGAUGAAGGUCUUCGGAUCGUAAAACUCUGUUAUUAGGGAAGAACAUAUGUGUAAGUAACUGUGCACAUCUUGACGGUACCUAAUCAGAAAGCCACGGCUAACUACGUGCCAGCAGCCGCGGUAAUACGUAGGUGGCAAGCGUUAUCCGGAAUUAUUGGGCGUAAAGCGCGCGUAGGCGGUUUUUUAAGUCUGAUGUGGAAGCCCACGGCUCAACCGUGGAGGGUCAUUGGAAACUGGAAAACUUGAGUGCAGAAGAGGAAAGUGGAAUUCCAUGUGUAGCGGUGAAAUGCGCAGAGAUAUGGAGGAACACCAGUGGCGAAGGCGACUUUCUGGUCUGUAACUGACGCUGAUGUGCGAAAGCGUGGGGAUCAAACAGGAUUAGAUACCCUGGUAGUCCACGCCGUAAACGAUGAGUGCUAAGUGUUAGGGGGUUUCCGCCCCUUAGUGCUGCAGCUAACGCAUUAAGCACUCCGCCUGGGGAGUACGACCGCAAGGUUGAAACUCAAAGGAAUUGACGGGGACCCGCACAAGCGGUGGAGCAUGUGGUUUAAUUCGAAGCAACGCGAAGAACCUUACCAAAUCUUGACAUCCUUUGACAACUCUAGAGAUAGAGCCUUCCCCUUCGGGGGACAAAGUGACAGGUGGUGCAUGGUUGUCGUCAGCUCGUGUCGUGAGAUGUUGGGUUAAGUCCCGCAACGAGCGCAACCCUUAAGCUUAGUUGCCAUCAUUAAGUUGGGCACUCUAAGUUGACUGCCGGUGACAAACCGGAGGAAGGUGGGGAUGACGUCAAAUCAUCAUGCCCCUUAUGAUUUGGGCUACACACGUGCUACAAUGGACAAUACAAAGGGCAGCGAAACCGCGAGGUCAAGCAAAUCCCAUAAAGUUGUUCUCAGUUCGGAUUGUAGUCUGCAACUCGACUACAUGAAGCUGGAAUCGCUAGUAAUCGUAGAUCAGCAUGCUACGGUGAAUACGUUCCCGGGUCU
rnacentral:rRNA from 1 species